rnacentral:rRNA from 1 species
GAUGAACGCUGGCGGCGUGCCUAAUACAUGCAAGUCGAGCGAACAGACGAGGAGCUUGCUCCUCUGACGUUAGCGGCGGACGGGUGAUUAACACGUGGAUAACCUACCUAUAAGACUGGGAUAACUUCGGGAAACCGGAGCUAAUACCGGAUAAUAUAUUGAACCGCAUGGUUCAAUAGUGAAAGACGGUUUUGCUGUCACUUAUAGAUGGAUCCGCGCCGCAUUAGCUAGUUGGUAAGGUAACGGCUUACCAAGGCAACGAUGCGUAGCCGACCUGAGAGGGUGAUCGGCCACCCUGGAACUGAGACACGGUCCAGACUCCUACGGGAGGCAGCAGUAGGGAAUCUUCCGCAAUGGGCGAAAGCCUGACGGAGCAACGCCGCGUGAGUGAUGAAGGUCUUCGGAUCGUAAAACUCUGUUAUUAGGGAAGAACAAAUGUGUAAGUAACUAUGCACGUAUUGACGGUACCUAAUCAGAAAGCCACGGCUAACUACGUG